GAUGAACGCUGGCGGCGUGCCUAAUACAUGCAAGUCGAGCGAACGGACGAGAAGCUUGCUUUUCUGAUGUUAGCGGCGGACGGGUGAGUAACACGUGGAUAACCUACCUAUAAGACUGGGAUAACUUCGGGAAACCGGAGCUAAUACCGGAUAAUAUUUUGAACCGCAUGGUUCAAAAGUGAAAGACGGUCUUGCCGUCACUUAUAGAUGGAUCCGCGCUGCAUUAGCUAGUUGGUAAGGUAACGGCUUACCAAGGCGACGAUGCAUAGCCGACCUGAGAGGGUGAUCGGCCACACUGGAACUGAGACACGGUCCAGACUCCUACGGGAGGCAGCAGUAGGGAAUCUUCCGCAAUGGGCGAAAGCCUGACGGAGCAACGCCGCGUGAGUGAUGAAGGUCUUCGGAUCGUAAAACUCUGUUAUUAGGGAAGAACAUAUGUGUAAGUAACUGUGCACAUCUUGACGGUACCUAAUCAGAAAGCCACGGCUAACUACGUG
rnacentral:rRNA from 1 species